rnacentral:rRNA from 1 species
GACGAACGCUGGCGGCGUGCUUAACACAUGCAAGUCGAACGGAAAGGCCCUGCUUUUGUGGGGUGCUCGAGUGGCGAACGGGUGAGUAACACGUGAGUAACCUGCCCUUGACUUUGGGAUAACUUCAGGAAACUGGGGCUAAUGCCGGAUAGGAGCUCCUGCUGCAUGGUGGGGGUUGGAAAGUUUCGGCGGUUGGGGAUGGACUCGCGGCUUAUCAGCUUGUUGGUGGGGUAGUGGCUUACCAAGGCUUUGACGGGUAGCCGGCCUGAGAGGGUGACCGGCCACAUUGGGACUGAGAUACGGCCCAGACUCCUACGGGAGGCAGCAGUGGGGAAUAUUGCACAAUGGGCGGAAGCCUGAUGCAGCAACGCCGCGUGCGGGAUGAAGGCCUUCGGGUUGUAAACCGCUUUCGCCUGUGACGAAGCGUGAGUGACGGUAAUGGGUAAAGAAGCACCGGCUAACUACGUG